GAUGAACGCUAGCUACAGGCUUAACACAUGCAAGUCGAGGGGAAACGGCAUCGAAAGCUUGCUUUUGAUGGGCGUCGACCGGCGCACGGGUGAGUAACGCGUAUCCAACCUGCCCAUCACUUGGGAAUAACCUUGCGAAAGUAAGACUAAUGCCCAAUGACAUCCCACGAAGGCAUCCGAAUGGGAUUAAAGAUUUAUCGGUGAUGGAUGGGGAUGCGUCUGAUUAGCUUGUUGGCGGGGUGACGGCCCACCAAGGCAACGAUCAGUAGGGGUUCUGAGAGGAAGGGCCCCCACAUUGGAACUGAGACACGGUCCAAACUCCUACGGGAGGCAGCAGUGAGGAAGAUUGGGCAAUGGGCGAGAGCCUGAACCAGCCAAGUAGCGUGCAGGAUGACGGCCCUAUGGGUUGUAAACUGCUUUUAUAAGGGAAUAAAGUGGGUCACGUGUGACUUUUUGCAUGUACCUUAUGAAUAAGGACCGGCUAAUUCCGUG
rnacentral:rRNA from 1 species